UUCUUUUGUUUUUUUAGAAGAAACUGGUUUAAACCGUCCCCACUAAAUUAAUAGGCAAACGGGCUUUACAUGAAGAAGGGUGCGACUACGGAGAACACUGAUAUAAGUGGAACAGAAGAAGGUUUGGGAGUUUGAAGUUAAACUCAACUCAACUGUUCACCUUUCUUCUUAUCUUUCAUUCCCUCUUAUGGCCGCCGAGAACAAACCGAAGUCCGAUUUCAACAACACCUCCAAGUUCAAGAAGGGAAGGCAACGCUAUCUUCCUCAUAACAAGCCGGUGAAGAAGAAGGGUUCCUACCCACUACGGCCGGGAGUCCAAGGCUUCUUCAUUACCUGUGAUGGUGGCAGGGAACGCCAAGCCUCUCAUGAGGCCAUUGACGUUAUUGACUCGUUUUUUGAGGAACUAGUCCUCGGGAAGGAUUCUGGCAUGCAGGUUGGAGGGUUACAGGGUAAAUCUACAAAUAAGAAAAUUAAGUUUACAUAUUCUGAUUCUUCUAGUGGUGAAACUGACGAUGAUGAGGACGAGGAAAAGGAGGAGAAGAAGAAAGAGAUUAAAUCUGCUACUUCUACUGAGGGUGACAAAAGCAAUGAUAAGGAAACAAGUGAGAUACUAGAUCAUAAUAAAACUGAUGCUGAGUCCCCUGAAAUUGUUAAAGGGGCAAAACCUAAUAACAAUAAGGAGGUUGAUGAAAGCCAUGUAAAUGAGGCUGAAGUUCCACCGGCAAAGAAACAGUGUCUGGGAACAGAAGUCUCAAAAUGUGUGAUCCCUGACAAAGUGGAAGUCAAGUCCAUGGACAAGCUAAUUGAAGCUGAGCUCAAAGAACUUGGAGACAAAAGUAAGAGGCGUUUUUUUCAUCUUGAUACUGGAUGUAAUGGUGUCGUUUUUGUGCAAAUGCGGAAGAGAGAAGGGGAUCCUGGCCCCAAAGAUAUUGUGCAGAACAUUAUGACUACCGCAGCUGCAGCAAGAAAACACAUGUCCAGGUUUAUCUUGAGAAUUUUACCUGUUGAAUUAGCAUGCUAUGCUUCAGAAGAGGAGAUUUCCAGAGCUAUAGUUCCUAUUGUGGAAAAGUAUUUUCCUGUGGAAACUCAGACUCCACAAAAGGCCUGGUCUCAGUUCGAAGAUGGUUCUAAAUUACUAAUUCUUCCAAAAAGAUCAAUUUGCAGUGCUGUAUGGUGCCCGUGCAAAUACUGGAGUUGACAGGAUGAAAAUAAUCGAUGCAGUUGCGAAAUCAGUUCCAAAACCACACAAGGUUGAUCUUAACAAUCCUGAUAAGGCCUUUGUAGUUGAAAUUGUUAAGACUGUAUGCUUGAUCGGGGUUAUUGAGAAGUACAAGGAGUUGGCCAAGUAUAACUUAAGGCAGCUCACAUCAUCAAAGCCUUAUCCUUAGCCUUGGGGUAUUGAACUCAAACUAAAGUAUAUCGCGUGGACUCAUCUAUAUCAACCGUAGACUUUGAGCAUUUUGGCUCAAUAAUUUACUGUCAUGUUUAUUUCCAUCAUAAAAACGUUGAUGUUCCAAAUAAACCAAUGCUAAUCUAAGUUUAUGAUGUUGACAGGGAUAUUUUUUUCA